CGAGCGCCCAGCAAUGGGAGCGGCAGACGGGUGAGUAACGCGUGGGGAUCUACCCAUUGGUACGGAAUAACCCAGGGAAACUUGGACUAAUACCGUAUGUGCCCUUCGGGGGAAAGAUUUAUCGCCAAUGGAUGAACCCGCGUCGGAUUAGCUAGUUGGUGAGGUAAAGGCUCACCAAGGCGACGAUCCGUAGCUGGUCUGAGAGGAUGAUCAGCCACACUGGGACUGAGACACGGCCCAGACUCCUACGGGAGGCAGCAGUGGGGAAUAUUGGACAAUGGGCGCAAGCCUGAUCCAGCCAUGCCGCGUGAGUGAUGAAGGCCUUAGGGUUGUAAAGCUCUUUCGCCGGUGAAGAUAAUGACGGUAACCGGAGAAGAAGCCCCGGCUAACUUCGUGCCAGCAGCCGCGGUAAUACGAAGGGGGCUAGCGUUGCUCGGAAUCACUGGGCGUAAAGCGCACGUAGGCGGAUCGUUAAGUCAGGGGUGAAAUCCUGGGGCUCAACCUCAGAACUGCCCUUGAUACUGGCGAUCUCGAGUUCGAGAGAGGUUGGUGGAACUCCGAGUGUAGAGGUGAAAUUCGUAGAUAUUCG
rnacentral:rRNA from 1 species